rnacentral:lncRNA from 1 species
AGGAAUGAAAUGCAGAUAACUCUUUAGAAAACUUUUGUAGGAAAAGCGCCUCGUGUGAUCUGGAACAAAGACGUUUUAUAAUCAGAUUUAUCAAGCUGCGAAGAGGGAGUUUUAGUGAACGGAAGCAGCAGCAUUCUGUCACCAGGAAAUACUCCUUUAUCCAGAAUUGGUAAGUGAAAAGUGGCAUUGCUCCCUAAUAGAUAUCAUAUGCGUGUGUGGGGAGAACAUCUUGAACCAGUUAUUGUAUAGCUCUUCAAGAGCUGUGAAUUUCCUUAAAAUGCAAUGUGGAGAAAAUUCCUUUGGUACCCUUUGACUUGAGUCUGUUCUGGAACAAUUGUGUGGUGGCUGGGCACUGCAAAAUGAGUCAGUUCCUGCAGUUUGGUUACAAGUUCUCAAAAAGUAUUUCAGAAUGUGGAUGUGGUCAGCAGAGUCAUUUUCCAGACAUCUAAAAGGAAACCCACAUCAACUGUAACAAUUGAGC